rnacentral:rRNA from 1 species
AUGGCGAUCAAGCAUAUAGCAGUAGCCUUUUUCUUCCUCCUCAUGGCCUUUGCUGAGUGUAGCGACGGGGGUGAACCUCCAUCUUCUCAAAAAGACACUUUUGGUGAAAGUGUGUAUGUGGUACAUUGGGAUUCCCCUUCAAAAGGAGAAGGUUUUGGGGCCAGUGCUCAUAAGGUGGAUUGGAACCCAGAAGAUGCACCUUCUAAAGAAAAAGGUUUUGGGGCAAGUGCUUAUAAGGUGGAUUGGAAACCAGAAGAUGCACCUUCUGCAGAACAAAAAGGUUUUGGGGCAAGUGCUUAUAAGGUGGAUUGGAAACCAGAAGAUGCAUCUUCCAAACAAAAUGGUUUCGGGGCAAGUGCUUAUAAGGUGGAUUGGAAACUAGAAGAUGCACCUUCCAGAAAAGAAGGUUUUGGGGUAAGUGCUUAUAAGGUGGAUUGGAAACCAGACGUUGCACCUUCCACAGAAGGAAAAGGUUUUGGGGAAAGUGCUUAUAAGGUGGAUUGGAAAUCAGAAGAUGCACCUUCCGAAGAAAAAGGUUUUGGGGCAAGUGCUUAUAAGGUGGAUUGGAAUCCAGAAGAUGCAUCUUCCAAACAAAAAGGUUUUGGGGCAAGUGCUUAUAAGGUGGAUUGGAAACUAGAAGAUGCAUCUUCCAAACAAAAAGGUUUUGGGGCAAGUGCUUAUAAGGUGGAUUGGAAACCAGAAGGUGCACCUUCCAGCGAAGAAGGUUUUAGGGCAAGUGAUUAUAAGGUGGAUUGGAAACCAGAAGAUGCAUGUUCCAGCAAUUACUUCUGCUACCUUACCAAGUCGAUAAUGUAA